rnacentral:tRNA from 1 species
CAGAGGAUAGUUUAAUGAAAAUAUUAACUUUGGGAGUUAUUGAUAAAGAAUCUCUUUUCCUUUGA